CCCGAGACGAGAAAUCCUG
rnacentral:misc_RNA from 1 species